CACUUGGGAGGGAGACGUUCUUGCACUUACAGAGUCACAGAUGGAAACCUCAGGGGUCAAUCAAGAAGAAGACAAAGGACAGGUGGGGCCUGGGACAGCUCCAAACCAGCAGGUUUCUGGUGAAGGCUCUGGGAGCCUGAGUUUUAAUCCUGCCUCCCCCACUGAGAUGCUACUGUAGGAUUUUAAGCCUUGCACUUAACUGCCAGUUGCAUCUGCUUCUGGGAAACGAGGAGGAACAGAUUUCAGCAAAGAAGAAAAGGUUGGAAUAUGUGGGGAAGAGAGAAAUUAUAAGAAAACGCAUUCAAAGGACAGAAGCUGGAGAUGGGUCAGCUGUCAGUCAAAUGAAGAUUCCUUUUGGAAUGUGCCCUGGAAAAGCAGUUUGGAGUCAAGCCAACUGCUGGACUUUUUCUGGGGCUUUGGGCUUUCUGGCUGAGCUGAAGGAAAAAGCUGGUUUUAUCUCUGGGACUUGGGAUAAUCAAGCUGGAGGUGGCCUGGCAGAAGAAGAAGGCAGAAAAACUUAAUUUCAUAGAAGAAGAGAUUGAGGCAAAUGAUGGUCAGUGUAUCAUGGAAUACUAUUGCACAGUAAGAAAUGAUGAAAGGGAUUGUUUCAGAGAAACCUGGGAAGACGUGUAAAUGGAUGAAAAGUGAAGGGAAGAUUCAGUGUAGUGUGGAAUCCAUUGGGAAAUGACGACGGCAUUUCAAAACAGACAUAAAUUUCAUUUUUAAGGAAAAGAAAGUAAUUUUUUAAAGAGCUCAUUUGAUGUGCACAUGCCCAGAAUCACCACUCUGAAGGAAACUUCUCCAAGGAGAAACCAGUUCAGUGAAGAGUGGACUCACCUGUUGCUAUGGAGAACAAUGAAGUCAGCAGCAGUGGUGGGAUUUCUCCAUUUGAAGGGGCUUCAAAAGAAAUUGGAAAGUGAGCAUGGCUGUGCAUAAAACACACAGGUUUCUACAGACCAACUAAUUGUCACAGAUUGAAAUCACUCUGUCUAGCUCAACACUCUGUUCCUUGUUCAGUAAAGUCUGAACCAAGAGCUUUACAAGCUUCUACAACGCUUUGUUGCAAUUCUUAGGAGACACAACUUCUUUUAUUUCAACCUUCGGUCUCUACAGCUCCACAACUUGCCUGUCUUUUUUAUUUUGACUUGUUUGUGCUAUGAUUUUAACCCCUGUGUAUCUGUUCAGAGAUACCUCCCCAGAAAAUCCCUCCUGUGUCCCAAAUAUAGAAGAGUUGAAUAAGCAUCA